rnacentral:rRNA from 1 species
CCUACGGGGGGCAGCAGUGGGGAAUAUUGGGCAAUGGGCGCAAGCCUGACCCAGCAACGCCGCGUGAAGGAAGAAGGCUUUCGGGUUGUAAACUUCUUUUAAGGGGGACGAACAAAUGACGGUACCCCUUGAAUAAGCCACGGCUAACUACGUGCCAGCAGCCGCGGUAAUACGUAGGUGGCAAGCGUUAUCCGGAUUUAUUGGGUGUAAAGGGCGUGUAGGCGGGAGCGCAAGUCAGAUGUGAAAACUCAGGGCUCAACCCUGAGCCUGCAUUUGAAACUGUGUUUCUUGAGUGCUGGAGAGGC